GGGCACUUGGCACAGUGGUAGCGCGCCUGCUUUGCACCAACACCAGUUGAGUUUGCUUGCAUGAGGUCGAGGGUUCAAUCCCCUCAGUGUCCA